GAUGAAGAACGUAGCGAAAUGCGAUACGUAAUGUGAAUUGCAGAAUUCAGUGAAUCAUCGAAUCUUUGAACGCAUAUUGCGCUCUCUGGUAUUCCGGAGAGCAUGCUCGUUUGAGUAUCAGUAAACACCUCAACUUCCAUAUCUUUUUUGAAAUGGGAGUUGGACUUGAGUGAUCCCAACGCUUUUCCUCACCGAAAAGUGGCGGGUUACUUGAAAUGCAGGUGCAGCUGGACUUUUCUCUGAGCUAUAAGCAUAUCUAUUUAGUCUGCCUAAAAAACAGAUUAUUACCUUUGCUGCAGCUAACAUAAAGGAGAUUAGUUCUUGUGCUGACUGAUGCAGGAUUCACAAAGACAGGCUUCGGCCGACUUUGUAAACUCGAUCUCAAAUCAAGUAAGACUACCCGCUGAACUUAAGCAUAUCAAUAAGCGGAGGA
rnacentral:misc_RNA from 1 species